rnacentral:rRNA from 1 species
GGAAGUGAACCAUCUCAGUACCUGAAGGAAAAGAAAGAAACCUCGAUUGCGAAAGUAGUGGCGAGCGAAAUCGCAACAGCCCAAACCCGGCGGAUCUCGGUCCGGCGGGGGUUGUAGGGCCGGCAACAGUAGAGUUACCAAUCCAGUCGUUAACAGAAGCCCUCUGGAAAGGGGAGCCAUAGAGCGUGACAGCCGCGUACGUGAAAACGAUCUGGACUCGAAGCCGGUACCUGAGUAAGGCGGAGCACGUGGAACUCUGUCUGAAUCUACGGGGACCAUCCCGUAAGGCUAAAUACACGCUUCUGACCGAUAGUGAACCAGUACCGUGAGGGAAAGGUGAAAAGAACCCCGGCAAGGGGAGUGAAAUAGUACCUGAAACCGUGUGCCUACAAGCAGUGGGAGGGCUAUGCCAGUGAUGGAAUGCCUGACCGCGUGCCUAUUGCAUAAUGAGCCGGCUAGUUAUUCUUGUCAGCAAGGUUAAGCGUAAGCGAGCCGCAGCGAAAGCGAGUCUUAAUAGGGCGAUUCAGUUGGCAGGAAUAGACGCGAAGCGGGAUGAUCUACCCUUGGCCAGGUUGAAAGUGGGGUAACACCCACUGGAGGACCGAACCGGUGUUUGUUGAAAAAAGCUCGGAUGAGCUGAGGGUAGGGGUGAAAGGCUAAUCAAAUUCCGUGAUAGCUCGUUCUCUCCGAAAUAGCUUUAGGGCUAGCCUCGGGUGAUUUGCAGUGGUGGUAGAGAUCUGAUUGGACUAGGGGGCUUUCCAGCUUACUGAAUCCAACCAAACUUCGAAUGCCAUGGACAACCAGCCCGGGAGUCAGACAGUGGGGGCUAAGCUUCAUUGUCGAGAGGAAAACAGUCCAGACCGCCUGCUAAGGUCCCAAAAUUUCAGCUAAGUGGGAAAGGAAGUCGGAACGCCCAGACAGCCAGGAGGUUGGCUUAGAAGCAGCCAUCCUUUAAAGAAAGCGUAAUAGCUCACUGGUCAAGCGGUCCGGUGCCGACAAUUUAACGGGGCUAAAGCUGAGUACCGAAGCAGCGGAUGCAUGCCUUCAGAGGCAUGCGUGGUAGGAGAGCAUUCUCAACACCCGUAGUGCGACCGAAAGGACGCAUCGAAGGUUGAGAAGAGACCCUGCCGGCAUAAGUAGCGAUAACGGAGGUGAGAACCCUCCGCACCGAAAGUCUAAGGUUUCCUGAGGAAGGUUAAUCCGCUCAGGGUUAGUCGGUCCCUAAGGCGAGGCCGAGAGGCGUAGCCGAUGGAUAUCCGGUUAAUAUUCCGGAACUCCCAGGCGUUCGUUAUCACGAUGGGGUGACGCAGAAGGAUAAUCAGGCCAUUACAUGACUAUGGUGGUCGAUGCGCGUAAGCCGGUCCCGGCAGGCAAAUCCACCGGGGCAUCAACGGUGAGGCGCAAAGCAGUAAGCCUUAUGGCUGAAAGCUGAUGAUUCCACGCUGCCAAGAAAAACCUCUAAGGAGAACGCAAGGGAACCGUACCUCAAACCGACACAGGUAGACGAGGAUUUAAUGUCCAAAGGUGCUCGAGAGAACACUCGUUCAGGAACUCGGCAAAUUAGACCCGUAACUUCGGGAGAAGGGUCGCCACAAUAGAGUUUACAGCUCGAAGUGGCCGCAGUGAAACGCGUACGGCGACUGUUUAACAAAAACACAGGUCUCUGCUAAGUCGAAAACGACGUAUAGGGGCUGACGCCUGCCCGGUGCUGGAAGGUUAAAGGGAGAGGUUAGCCGCAAGGCGAAGCUUUGAACUGAAGCCCCAGUGAACGGCGGCCGUAACUAUAACGGUCCUAAGGUAGCGAAAUUCCUUGUC